GCUGAAAAGACACGUGUCCACCAAGACCUGCCUUUCUUACAUUUGCUUUUGCAGUUGAUCCAAAAGAAGGCAAAAACCCCAGUCUGAAGCGCUUCCAAUUGUGAACCAAAUUAGGAAAAAAAAUCCCCUAGAAUGGCAGUCAGAUCUCUCCUUGGAUCAAGAAGCUAUUACCACACUAAUUAAAAAUUAUAUCCCUGUAACAUCCUUAUUGUUCUUACUGUAAAAAACUCUUUCCUUUGCCUUAGACUAAAUCUCCGUUCUUCCAGUCUAAAUGUGUGACUUUGUCUCCUAUGUAUAGUCCUGUUUAUGAAUAGAUUUCCAGACAAUGGUUUGUAUUGGCCCCAAAUAUAUUUGUAUAAUGUUAUCAUAUCCCCUCUGAGGCAACAUUUUUCUUAACUAAACUGAUCUAAAUUUGUUAACCGUUCUUCAUAAUUAGAAUGCUCCAUUCAUUUGAUCAAUUUUGUAGAUAGCCUCUGCACUUGUUCA